AUUGCUAGUUUAGUUUCAUAUAUAAUAUAUACAGUAAUUGUAGGGUCAUACCUCAAAUGCUGGUAUCUUACUUGGCCAUGGGGUUGCUUGUUUAAAUAUUAAACUUACCCUUGUGACCUCUGUCCACAGUCAUUUGAAGGAAGGAUUUCCUUUGGUUUUAGCUAUGCUUAUGAAAUUGAGAAACAAUUGCAAUGUUAAGAGUUUAUGUGAAGUAUACAUCUUUGUACUUGGAAGAGUCUAAGUUGUUUAUAUUUGGUAAAAGGUUCAUUUGUCCCUUUUAGCUCUUAAAUAUCUCGAUGUAUUUAAUGCCUUGUUUUCUCUCCUGCCGCAGGAUAAAGAAAAUGAUAAACCCACAAAGUGCAUAUUUCAAAUAGCAUAUAUCUGAAAUCGUAUGUCUGUGCAGGUUUAACUGCUGCAUACAGCGGGCACAGAUGCAUCUUGUUACAUGUAAGAAAAAGCUGUAUUUGAACAGAGCAUGCGUUUAAAGCCCUUAACAAAUUCAUCACAUAAUCUUAAAUUGGAACUUUGCACGGUUCCAAGUGUGCUCUCCUUUCAUACAGUUUCCAUGGUGUGAGUGCUUUACUGAAGAUCUGUUUCUUUUGUACUCUGACUACACAUGACCCAAUUAUAUUCUAAUGUGAAAAUAUUAGCAUAAAUAGGUGAAAUUGCUCUUCUGAAAAUUGUGUCCUGUGCUUUUAGACUUUGGAGUUCCACAGAUAGUAAAAAUAUAGCCUUCACAAUUUUUUAAUAAUCAGUAUCAUUUCUACACCAAAAUAUUGUUUUUUUCCCUCACUAAAGACAAUAUAAAGAAAAAUAAUCUAAGAAGAUAAAGGGGCUUUCUGCUUAAAGAUAUGUAGAUAAUAUUCCUAAGUAUGCUGAAAUAAAAUACUGUUUCAAACUGG
rnacentral:lncRNA from 1 species